rnacentral:pre_miRNA from 1 species
UUAUUACUCCCUCCGUUCCAAAUUACUCGUCGCUGAAAUGGAUGUAUCUAGAACUAAAAUACAUCUAGAUACAUCCAUACGUGCGACAAGUAAUUCGGAACGGAGGGAGUAUAUG